UAACACGUAGCCAACCUACCUUUCCGUCCGGGAUAACUAGCCGAAAGGUUAGCUAAUACCUGAUGCGAUCGUCGAACGGCAUCGUACGACGAUGAAAGCAGCAAUGCGCGGAUUGAGGGGGCUGCGGCCCAUUAGCUAGUUGGUGAGGUAACGGCCCACCAAGGCGACGAUGGGUAGCUGGUCUGAGAGGACGACCAGUCACACUGGGACUGAGAAACGGCCCAG
rnacentral:rRNA from 1 species